rnacentral:rRNA from 1 species
UACGUAGAGGGCAAGCGUUGUCCGGAUUUAUUGGGCGUAAAGGGCGCGUAGGCGGCUCUGCACGUCCGUUGUGAAAUCGCCCGGCUCAACUGGGCGGGGUCAGCGGAUACGGCAGAGCUCGAGCAAGCUAGGGGGCAAUGGAAUUCCAGGUGUAGCGGUGAAAAUGCGUAGAUAUCUGGAGGAAUACCGGUGGCGAAGGCGGCAUCCUGGACCGGCAUUGACGCUGAUGAGCGAAAGCUAGGGGAGCAACGGG